GGGUGGAGUUAACCGGCUGCGAUGCUGAUCUGACAAAACAAUUGUAAAUAAUGGAGAAUGUAGCAACUAGCAAAACUUCUGUGGAGACAGCAUGUUACAAAUGUUCCUUUUCUUAACUUGACUUGGGCCAGUAAGCAGCCAUCUAGAAAUCAUUUGGUAAUGCCCUAGCAACAACCAAAACAGUGGCGUAACUACCGGCAGUGCGGGAGGGGCAGCUGCACUGUUUGCAAGAAUACUGCCAUUCGCGUGAUCGACUUAAACAAAACUUAAACAAAAGUCAUUUCUAAAUUCAAAUUGCCCUUUAAACUACGCAAAAAAGCAAUAAAAUAACGAAGUGAUCAAAAAAUAUUAUUUAAUCACCUCCCCAAAUCCAAACAUUUGCCGUCUCCAAUGGCUCCAUUUACCAUCACGCAAGCAUCCAUCAACAACAUCAGGUGGAAAAUUACUAAUAGCCUACAGAUUAAGAACUAAAGACAAUCAUAAAUGUAAAGACAAUAAUAAUCAUAAUAAAUAAGCCCAAUAAAUUCCCUUGUGUUACCAAAAUAAUGUUGCCAAAUGUGUGUUCUUAUCGAAUUUGUGUUUGUAUUGCGUUUUGGUAAUACAGUUAAUGCUACCUAAAGAAAAGAAAAUAGAACUCAAUUUUAGAUUCAAGGUGAAUGUGUCUUUUAUUACUUUAUGAUUUAAUCACUUUGGUCUUUGUUUCUUUAAUACAAAGAUAUAUACAGUAUACUACUGAACCUGCAUUCACAAUGCAUGCUAACCAUGUGGAAAUAAAGCAAACUAAACUCACAGCACCCCCUGAGAAGAUCGGAGAUAAUUUGCAGCAUUCUGAUAGACAACACUAUUCUUGCAAACAGUUUUAGGUGAAUGAAACAAAAAAAAGAGUGAAAACUCUUUACAUGCGCUUGUUCCACAAGACAGGCUUGAGCUACAUGCCGACAUGCUUGUGUUUCACAUGACAGGCUCGUGCUACACGCCUCUGGACAAACAGCAAAUCAGACACAAGCAUUGACGGCUUUUGUUUUGUCUGUUCUUAAAAUUAUUAUAAAGUGUGUUUCUUCUUUGUGACUAACAGCAUUUCUUGUCAUGUGUCACUCCGAGACAUCUUACAGGUCACGUAGGAUGAGCAAAAUUACCCAAGCAUUAAAUACAUUUGGACGAGGAGCUUGUGAACUGGAUUCAGCCUCGUCGCAUUUUGCGGGUGGCGGGUGCUAGUUUUGGCUUCCUGAUCUUGGGCCUCCUCCUUGGCCACUAGAUCCCGCUCCUUGGUCUUUCCAGCCAGCGCCACCCUGGUCUGUCCUGCCAGCACCACCCUAGUCGAUCCCGUUGGCGGCACCCUGUUCCAUCCCGCCGGCGUCACCCUGGUCCAUCCUACCGCUGCCACCCUGGUACAUCCUGUUGGUGCCACUCUGGUCAGUCCUGUUGGCACCUCCCUGGUCCAUGUCGCUGGUGCCGUCCUGGUUCGGCCUGCCGGUGCCACCCUGGUCUUUUCUGCCCUGGUCCUUACCUUUGUUUUCUGAUUGUUUGGACUUUUGUUUGUCUUUCUUGUUUGUUCUGUAUUUUGUAGUACCCUACUCCCUAUCUAAACUCAUUUCCCUGUUUUCCAGUCAGUUCGUUCUCAGUUCUUUUUUUCUUGUUGUUUUGUUUUUUCUCCUUAUUGAGAGUUUUUGUUUCCUGUUUGGUUUAGUUUUCCUAGUUGGUUUGUUUUCAGUUUUAUUUUUGUCUUAUCUUUUAUUUUGCCCUCAUGAGAGUUUUGUUUGUAUUUUGUUGGUUUUUCGUUUCAAUAAAACACCUUUCAUUGC